AGAGAGAGAGAGAGAGAGAGAGAGAGAGAGAGAGAGAGAGAGAGAGAGAGAGAGAGAGAGGCAGACAGCUUUCAGAAAUCUUGACAGCGCGUCCGGAGACUCCAAGGCGUGAAAAAAGGCGCAAGGCGGACAAUGAUGCGGUGAAAUAAGUCUGUCAUUCUUGGAGCUUUUUUAAAGGGGGAAACUGGAGAAGGAGGAUGAGCAGAGGAGACAAUUUGGUCUGUGUGAGAGAGAGAGAGGUUGGCCAACACUGUGCGCCUGGCUUCAGCGCCGGCUCAGCAACCCCCAACGAUCCAAUGAAUAAAUACUGGUUUGUUUCGAACGAAGUUGUGCACAGGGAUCAUGCUUCAGAGGGUGAAAGCAGCCGAAACGCUCCCAUCAGGUUGUUGUGUGUAUCAGGAUAUCAUUUUUUCAUUCAGGCAUAAAUCCAGUUUUCUGCUUGGAGUCCGUGCAACACUGUUUUCUCUUCAGUUUAUUUACAGGCAGCGGCAGAAUAAAUCAGUCUCCAUCCAACGGGAUUUUCCUUUUUUUUCUUUUCUUUUUUUAUAUCGAAGAUCUGCUCCUGGACGGGAAAAAAAGCGGACAAGCACAAAGAGAGAAACAAGUCCGGAUAGCAGAACCGGGAGAGAAUACAUUGCAGCAGAGAGGAGAGGAAUAAGAGAUGGAUGGAGAGGAAGAGAGUAGCCUGAAGGUACGGCUACACCUGCAUCUCCCCCCCCCC